rnacentral:lncRNA from 1 species
UGAGGGUCAUGUUUGAGCUUCAUUACGUAAUCAUCUACAGUCUUGCUUCAAUUUUUUCCCGGCUGUUCUGGGCCAAUUGCACGGGAGAACGCAGCGGCGAGCGUCAUCUUGAAGGGGGAUGGCUCGUUUCCCAUGGCAUGUGCCGGUAAUUUCCUGGUAGAAUAUUGAUUCUUGUCUGUGAAUAUGUUGUCGUUUCUUGCCAGCGCAUAACCUGGCAGUAGACCUGUUUUGCACUAUAGGAUAUGUGUAUGCGUUUGCAAUGAGUGGAAACCGUCUGUUCUCGCUCAGCGGUGCAAAAAAGUCACUGCAGGAGAGAUGCCAAAGCACGAAGAAGAUCGCAACUGCCGCUGCGAGACUCUGUCUGCGGCACUUGAGGGAUCCGUUUUCUCAGGCACCUCUCCGUGUGACGGUUAAACAAGGCCCGAACUGUAUGAUCAAUCGUUUUCCCAACCUAACGGAGUUGUUAAAUGGGGGGGCAUUCGCAAACGCUAAAGAUGCUCCGGCGUUCAGGUUCCGCGGUGACAAAUACGCCCACUGCUACGGAGCGCCCAGUCGUGCUGAGAAAUCCACUGCAACUAGAAAAGGGGUUUUCUUCACUGUUCUUGCGGUUUUUGUUCUUUCUCUUUUUGGAAGCCCAGUGUGGUUCAUUUUUUUUUACAACAAGCACAAGGCGAAGUACGAGAAACUUGCUCGAGGUGACGAAGAUUGGUGAUACACAAAUAUGGCGUCGCUCCUUGCCAACGCGACCUUCUUUGUGCCUUCGCAGAGUGUUUCGUUCCCUGGUCUCAACGAGCUAGAGAUGCCAGUCCCUUCUAAAUGCGAUUUGUUGUAUGCACUACUGAUAUAAAAUCCCACAAUCAAAUAACUCGGCGUCUUGCGUGCGCGUGAAAGACAGGUUCUGUACACGGUUGAUAAUAACAUUUAAUGUGGAACGCGAGUAUCCUGAAGAUUCUAGCAGAGUAGCCACGGAAAUAACAGCAGACCCAAUCUUCAAAGUAGUAGGGGGGAACCUCCUGCAGGGCCGGGGGUUUCUACGCAAGGUAAGGGGGGACCCGCGAUGGAGGUCGCGCACAAACGCGUGCCUUGUUGGAGAGUUCUCUGGUGUCACUCUCGGCUGUGCAUGGUGUGGCCCCUAAUUUUCCGGUUGCCAGAUUGUUCCCUCGCUGAGGGAAGCUGGUGGCGAUGCCAUCGUCUAUCGGUUCCGCAGUGCACGGGGGCGUAAGAACUGGCUGGGGAGCUGACAGCAUUAAAAUCGAGCCUUUGUUAUGCAGUUUUAUCAGGUUGUCGGGGAGAAGACAUUUUUGAGGGAAUCGAGCGGGCUCUCAUAGCAGAAAGUGCUUCUCUGGCGGUGUCCAAAAACGCGGAAGCUUUUUGACUGUUAAGAGGUCGCACGGCCCCUGUGAAGGUGUACAACGCCUGAAGCGUCUGAAGGAGCGAGUCAAGCUCGUCCACAUCUUCGUCCGUGAGAGGAUUGUCUUUUUUCUCGAUCACAGCCUCAUUUUGACUCUCCUUUUCAGGCCUGCGCCGUGCUAGCUUCCGGACUGUGUCUGAGUCUUUCUUGAAACUAUGUGCAUCCUUAUCAAUAAUUUCUUGAGCCCUGAGCCAACGCAC